CACCGCGGUUACACGGGCGACUCAAGUUGAUUAAUACCGGCGUAAAGUGUGGUUAGGAAAACCCUCAACUAAAGCCAAAUGCCUUCCUCACUGUCAUACGUACUCGAAGGUAAGAAGCCCAAUUACGAAAGUAGCUUUACCCUUUCUGAACCCACGAAAGCUAUGGAA
rnacentral:rRNA from 2 species